rnacentral:rRNA from 1 species
GUGAGGAAUAUUGGUCAAUGGGCGCAAGCCUGAACCAGCCAUGCCGCGUGCAGGAGGACGGCCCUAAGGGUUGUAAACUGCUUUUAUACGGGGGUAAUUUUCGACCUGCGGGUUGAAUUGAAAGUACUGUAUGAAUAAGCGUCGGCUAACUACGUGCCAGCAGCCGCGGUAAUACGUAGGACGCAAGCGUUAUCCGGAUUUAUUGGGUUUAAAGGGUGCGUAGGCGGACCCAUAAGUCAGCGGUGAAAGACUGUCGCUUAACGAUAGCAUUGCCGUUGAUACUGUGGAUCUUGAGUACAGUUGAGGUAGGCGGAAUGUGUAGUGUAGCGGUGAAAUGCUUAGAUAUUACACAGAACACCGAUUGCGGAGGCAGCUUACUAAGCUGUAACUGACGCUGAUGCACGAAAGCGUGGGGAUCAAACAGGAUUAGAUACCCCUGUAGUCC